rnacentral:rRNA from 1 species
GACGAACGCUGGCGGCGUGCUUAACACAUGCAAGUCGAGCGGACCUUCGGGUUAGCGGCGAACGGGUGAGUAACACGUGAGCAACCUGCCUCUGGCUUCGGGAUAAGCCCGGGAAACCGGGUCUAAUACCGGAUAUGACCUGCGUCUGCAUGGGUGUGGGUGGAAAGAUUUAUCGGCCAGAGAUGGGCUCGCGGCCUAUCAGCUUGUUGGUGGGGUAGUGGCCUACCAAGGCGACGACGGGUAGCCGGCCUGAGAGGGUGGACGGCCACACUGGGACUGAGACACGGCCCAGACUCCUACGGGAGGCAGCAGUGGGGAAUCUUGCGCAAUGGGCGAAAGCCUGACGCAGCGACGCCGCGUGGGGGAUGACGGCCUUCGGGUUGUAAACCUCUUUCAGCAGGGAAGAAGCCGCAAGGUGACGGUACCUGCAGAAGAAGCACCGGCUAACUACGUGCCAGCCGCCGCCGUAACAC